rnacentral:rRNA from 1 species
UACGUAGGGGGCAAGCGUUGUCCGGAAUCAUUGGGCGUAAAGCGCGUGUAGGCGGCCAGAAAAGUCCGCUGUGAAAACUCGAGGCUCAACUUCGAGCUGUCGGUGGAAACUUUCUGGCUAGAGUCCGGAAGAGGAGAAUGGAAUUCCUGGUGUAGCGGUGAAAUGCGCAGAUAUCAGGAAGAACACCCGUGGCGAAGGCGGUUCUCCGGGACGGUACUGACGCUGAGACGCGAAAGCGUGGGGAGCGAACAGG